CCUGGUGCCCAUCGCGGAGUUGAUACACCCGAUCCCAUCCCGAACUCGGCCGUGAAACACUCCAGCGCCUAUGGUACUGCCGCUUAAGCGGCGGGAGAGUCGGUCAGCGCCAGGC
rnacentral:rRNA from 1 species